GAUGAACGCUGGCGGCGUGCCUAAUACAUGCAAGUCGAGCGAAUGGAUUAAGAGCUUGCUCUUAUGAAGUUAGCGGCGGACGGGUGAGUAACACGUGGGUAACCUGCCCAUAAGACUGGGAUAACUCCGGGAAACCGGGGCUAAUACCGGAUAACAUUUUGAACCGCAUGGUUCGAAAUUGAAAGGCGGCUUCGGCUGUCACUUAUGGAUGGACCCGCGUCGCAUUAGCUAGUUGGUGAGGUAACGGCUCACCAAGGCAACGAUGCGUAGCCGACCUGGGAGGGAGAUCGGCCACACUGGGACUGAGACACGGCACAGACUCCUACGGGAGGCAGCCGUAGGGAAUCUUGCGCAAUGGACGAAAGUCUGACGGAGCAACGCCGCGUGAGCGAUGAAGGCUUUCGGGUCGUAAAACUCUGUUGUUAGGGAAGAACAAGUGCUAGUUGAAUAAGCUGGCACCUUGACGGUACCUAACCAGAAAGCCACGGCUAACUACGUGCCAGCCGCCGCAGUAA
rnacentral:rRNA from 1 species